GACGAACGCUGGCGGCGUGCUUAACACAUGCAAGUCGAACGGAAAGGCCCUGCUUUUGUGGGGUGCUCGAGUGGCGAACGGGUGAGUAACACGUGAGUAACCUGCCCUUGACUUUGGGAUAACUUCACGAAACUGGGGCUCAUACCGGAUAGGAGCUCCUGCUGCAUGGUGGGGGUUGGAAAGUUUCGGCGGUUGGGGAUGGACUGGCGGCUUAUCAGCUUGUUGGUGGGGUAGUGGCUUACCAAGGCUUUGACGGGUAGCCGGCCUGAGAGGGUGACCGGCCACAUUGGGACUGAGAUACGGCCCAGACUCCUACGGGAGGCAGCAGUGGGGAAUAUUGCACAAUGGGCGGAAGCCUGAUGCAGCAACGCCGCGUGCGGGAUGACGUCCUUCGGGUUGUAAACCGCUUUCGCCUGUGACGAAGCGUGAGUGACGGUAAUGGGUAAAGAAGCACCGGCUAACUACGUG
rnacentral:rRNA from 1 species